rnacentral:rRNA from 1 species
AUUGAACGCUGGCGGCAGGCCUAACACAUGCAAGUCGAACGAGUGGCGGACGGGUGAGUAAUGUAUGGGAAACUGCCUGAUGGAGGGGGAUAACUACUGGAAACGGUAGCUACUACCGCAUACCAUCGGAUGUGCCCAGAUGGGAUUAGCUAGUAGGUGGGGUAACGGCUCACCUAGGCGACGAUCCCUAGCUGGUCUGAGAGGAUGACCAGCCACCCUGGCACUGAGACACGGCCCAGACUCCUACGGGAGGCAGCAGUGGGGAAUAUUGCACAAUGGGCGCAAGCCUGAUGCAGCCAUGCCGCGUGUAUGAAGAAGGCCUUCGGGUUGUAAAGUACUUUCAGCGGGGAGGCGUUACCCGCAGAAGAAGCACCGGCUAACUCCGUGCCAGCCGCCGCGGUAAUAC